rnacentral:rRNA from 1 species
AGCGAACGCUGGCGGCAGGCCUAACACAUGCAAGUCGAACGGAUCCUUCGGGAUUAGUGGCGGACGGGUGAGUAACACGUGGGAACGUGCCCUUUGGUUCGGAACAACUCAGGGAAACUUGAGCUAAUACCGGAUGUGCCCUUCGGGGGAAAGAUUUAUCGCCAUUGGAGCGGCCCGCGUCCGAUUAGCUAGUUGGUGGGGUAAAGGCCCACCAAGGCGACGAUCAGUAGCUGGUCUGAGAGGAUGAUCAGCCACAUUGGGACUGAGACACGGCCCAAACUCCUACGGGAGGCAGCAGUGGGGAAUCUUGCGCAAUGGGCGAAAGCCUGACGCAGCCAUGCCGCGUGAAUGAUGAAGGUCUUAGGAUUGUAAAAUUCUUUCACCGGGGACGAUAAUGACGGUACCCGGAGAAGAAGCCCCGGCUAACUUCGUGCCAGCAGCCGCUGUAAUAC